CUUUAUACUUUUAUUUUGCUCUCCUACCUCCCCUAGACGGGGGCGUAACAGGCCCGUCAUCACCCUACUGUACCCAUAACAAGGCCUACUGGUGGAAGACUCUUGCAUCAGGGCAUCACAUCAGAUUGAACUCUUCGUCCCCGCUCAGCUUUGAAAGGGACUAUGAAGUCAUUUCCGUGUUCAACACCAAGAAGCCCCGUCGUCUCCUGCUGGAAUCAUUAAAACUUUCAUUUGGUCUCCAACCAAUGGCGUAAAUAUCGAUGAUGCGACUGGUGCAACUGCACGGGGGCCCAGAAGCUGUCAGGGCCCAUGGAGGGAGGCAAUGUUUUGCCACUUUACUAUUGUAGGUGGAACCUCUCGCACAUUGACCGUUUCACGCAGUCCUCUUCAGCAGUGUUGUUAAUGACCCGUAUGAUGAAACACUGUUUUUAUUGUGCUUUUAACAGUUGAAACUUGUAAAACACAACUCUAUAUACACACAUACACAUACAUACACACUUACUUUAUCACAAAGAAUGAAACUGAGUUAAAUAAAAAACUAAAUAAAAUAAAUAAUAAUCUAAAAAGGGGGGAUGGAUGCCUAUUACCCUCGUCAGCAAA